CGGGAUGCUGUCAGCUUUUCAACGGUUCUCCUGUUCCCUGUCCCUGGGAAAUAACCCUCUCUGGGGCUCAGAACCUGCUACAAGCAGGGGCUGCUCCUGUACUGACACUGCCCACAUAGCUGACCCCUUCAGACAGCAGAAGAGGGAACAGUUAGUUGUCACAUUCCCCGUGCCACAAAGGCUGCCCUGCACUUCUCUGGUACAUCGGGGCAGGUCAGGGCUGAACUAACGAAAAGUUGCCAUCACAGCCCCCAAAUCCCUGGCUUCCAAAGUGGAGGCUGACGUUGGGUCUUUGUCUCAGCAAGCGCAUUCAAGUGCAGCAGCCACUGUG
rnacentral:lncRNA from 1 species